AAGUCGUAACAAGGUUUCCGUAGGUGAACCUGCGGAAGGAUCAUUAUCGAAUGAAACUAGAGUCGGUUGUCGCUGGCCUCUUCAUUGAGGCAUGUGCACGCCUUCUCUAUUCAUCCACACACACCUGUGCACUUGUGAGACGGACUUGUUCCUUUCGGGGGACCUUCCGUCUAUCAUACAUAAACUCCAGUAACUAUAAAUCAGAAUGUAAUCGAUGUAACGCAUCUUUAAACUAAGUUUCAACAACGGAUCUCUUGGCUCUC
rnacentral:misc_RNA from 1 species